rnacentral:ncRNA from 1 species
CAAAGAUUUGGUCCUAACCUUACUGUUAAUUUUUGCUAAAUUUACACAUGCAAGUAUCCGCAUACCAGUGAAAACGCCCUAACAUAUCCAAUCAGAUAAAAGGAGCCGGUAUCAGGCACACCAUGAUAGCCCAAGACACCUAGUUCUACCACACCCCCAAGGGUAUCUUCAGCAGUGAUAAAAAUUAAGCAAUAAGCACAAGCUUGACUUAGUUACAGCAAAGAGAGCUGGUCAACCUCGUGCCAGCCACCGCGGUUAUACAAGAAGCCCAAACUAACAACCAAUCGGCGUAAAAUGUGGCUAAACAACCCUAUCAAUAAAAUUAAGGUGAACUAAGUACCAAACUGUCAUACGUAAAAGUACAAAUUAAUACACUAUGAAAAUAACCUUAAUACAAUGAAACAACUUGAACCCACGAUCGCUAAGACACAAACUUAGGAUUAGAUACCAUACUAGGCCUAGCCCUAAAAUUAGAUAUUUUCAGCACAAAAAAUAUCCUGCCAGAGAACUACGAGCAUAAACGCUUAAAACUCUAAGGACUUGGCGGUACCUCAAACCCUCCCAGAGGAGCCUGUUCAAUAAUCGAUAAUCCACGAUCUACCUCACCACUCCCUUGCCAAUUCCGGCCUAUAUACCACCGUCACCAGCUUACCCCAUGAGAGCACAAAAGUAAGCAAAAUAACCUAAACAGUUAAUAAGUCAGGUCAAGGUGUAGCUAAUUGAUGAUGGAAGAAAUGGGCUACAUUUUCUACCUUAGAAUUAAUCACGGAAGAAUAUCAUGAAAUAGAUUCCACAAGCAGGAUUUAGCAGUAAACUGCGAGCAGAGAGCCCAAUUUAAGCUGGUCCCUGAGGUACGCACACACCGCCCGUCACCCUCCUCAAAUAAACCUAAUAACAAUAAAUAAACCACAACAAACAUAAUAGAUGAGGUAAGUCGUAACAAGGUAAGUACACCGGAAGGUGUACUUGGAACAU